rnacentral:rRNA from 1 species
AUUGAACGCUGGCGGCAGGCCUAACACAUGCAAGUCGAGCGGAUGAAGGGAGCUUGCUCCUGGAUUCAGCGGCGGACGGGUGAGUAAUGCCUAGGAAUCUGCCUGGUAGUGGGGGAUAACGUCCGGAAACGGGCGCUAAUACCGCAUACGUCCUGAGGGAGAAAGUGGGGGAUCUUCGGACCUCACGCUAUCAGAUGAGCCUAGGUCGGAUUAGCUAGUUGGUGGGGUAAAGGCCUACCAAGGCGACGAUCCGUAACUGGUCUGAGAGGAUGAUCAGUCACACUGGAACUGAGACACGGUCCAGACUGCUCCGGGAGGCAGCAGUGGGGAAUAUUAGACAAUGGGCGAAAGCCUGAUCCAGCCAUGCCGCGUGUGUGAAGAAGGUCUUCGGAUUGUAAAGCACUUUAAGUUGGGAGGAAGGGCAGUAAGUUCAUACCUUGCUGUUUUGACGUUACCAACAGAAUAAGCACCGGCUAACUUCGUG